AAUUUUAUAGUUAAAUAUAAAUAACAUUAAAUUGCAAAUUUAAAAUUAUAAAAAUUAUUAAAAUUU
rnacentral:tRNA from 1 species